rnacentral:rRNA from 1 species
UACAGAGGUCCCAAGCGUUGUUCGGAUUCAUUGGGCGUAAAGGGUGCGUAGGCGGCGCGGUAAGUCGGGUGUGAAAUCUCGGAGCUUAACUCCGAAACUGCAUUCGAUACUGCCGUGCUUGAGGACUGGAGAGGAGACUGGAAUUUACGGUGUAGCGGUGAAAUGCGCAGAUAUCCGAAGGAACACCGGUGGCGAAGGCGGCUUCCUGGACCGACACUGACGCUGAGGCGCGAAAGCUAGGGGAGCAAACGGG